AUUGAACGCUGGCGGCAGGCCUAACACAUGCAAGUCGAGCGCGCGGCGGACGGGUGAGUAAUGUAUGGGGACUGCCCGAUAGAGGGGGAUAACUACUGGAAACGGUAUCUAAUACCGCAUACUAUCGGAUACCCCCUAUGGGAUUAGCUAGUGGGUGAGGUAAUGGCUCACCUAGGCGACGAUCCCUAGCUGGUCUGAGAGGAUGAUCAGCCACACUGGGACUGAGACACGGCCCAGACUCCUACGGAGGCAGCAGUGGGGAAUAUUGCACAAGGGGCGCAAGCCGGAUGCAGCCAUGCCGCGUGUAUGAAGAAGGCCCUAGGGUGGUAAAGUACUGUCAGUCGGGAGGCGUUACCGACAGAAGAAGCACCGGCUAACUCCGUGCCAGCCGCCGCGGUAAUAC
rnacentral:rRNA from 1 species